GAACUAGUUCUUAGAACUAAUUUCAAUGCGUACGUAUAUAUUUAUAUACAUGUGUACAUACACUUGAUAACCAUGUAAGUGGGGACUGAGGACGAGCAAUCGCAAGAAACGCAUGAAACAGAAUAUGCGCCACUGUUAUGUAUGGAUUUACUUGUGUAUAUGUGCAUUGGAUAUUAAUAGCUUGCUGAGAUGUCACAGAGUUACAGGCAUCUAAAAGAAAGACUAACCUCUUCGUUUCUUAUACGAUAAAUGGUUAUAUUGAACGCAACCUUGAACAAUUUUAGAUACUUAUCACACGACAAUUCGACAAAUAUUUAUCGAACGUAAUCGAACUCGAUCACAUGCGGAAUCACGUGCAAGGAAUAUCCCGCGAUAUUGUAAACCAAGGUAAAACGUAUGAUUAACAGUGAAAUGUCAUUUGGCGUUUAAGGAUAGCAGUAUGAAACGUAACUUUCCUGCAAGUAAACUUGAGUGGAUGGAUAAGAAAUUGAAGGAAGACUAGAAAAGUUUCUCUAUGCGAUGGAGCUAUUCCAUUAGACUUUUCAUGUUUCUUUUAUAUCCCAUUUUAGAUUUGCUUCAAAAUACUUAUUUUUUUCUCUUUUUUGUAUUUAUAUCAAGACCAUGUCAAAGCCUGAGACACCAAAAUUUGUAACUGCUCUUUUUUCCUUCAAAGGAAAAAACAAUGACGAGCUGUGUUUUAAAAAGGGAGAUGUGAUUACGAUAACACAGAUAGACGAAGGAGGUUGGUGGGAGGGAACAUUACAUGAUAAAACAGGAUGGUUUCCAUCUAAUUAUGUCAAAGAGUGCAGGGUUCCAGAGAAUAGUGUCUCAACUAUGAAAGCAACUGAAAAAGUUCUGCAAGAAUCUCCCGUGCAUCAAAAGCUAAAUCGUGAUAUUGUAUUGAAAGAUUUGGUGGACUCUGAAAGAGUGAAUGUAGCAGAAUUGCAGGGUUUGAUAAAUAGCUUUUUACAUCCUCUAGAAUCUGCUAACAUAUUGAACAAAGAAGAAUACAAGCAACUUCUAGGUAAUGUACAUGAAGUUUUGGAAGUACAUCAACGAUUGCUAUCCAACUUGGAAGCAGCUAUGACACAAGAUUCUAGAGUUGGAAAUCUCUUUCUAACACUUGCACCAAAAUUAAAGUCCAUUCAUACAAUGUAUUGCAGAAAUCAUCCGAAGGCAGUAUGUAUUUUAGAUCGGUACAGAGAUGAACUGAAUGAUUUCAUGGAACGUAGUGGAGCAAUAUCACCAGGGAUAUUAGUAUUAACAACUGGUUUAAGUAAACCUUUCCGAAGAUUGGAUAAAUAUUCUGCUAUGCUUCAAGAAUUGGAGAGGUAUACGGAAAGAAAUCAUCCUGAUAGAGGUGACACACAACGCAGUAUAGCAGUAUACAGAGAGAUAGCAGAUCGAUGUGCAUCUAUACGAAAGCAACGUGAGUUGGCGCUUCAAGUGUUAACAAGCGGUAUUAAAGGAUGGGAGGGAGAAGAGUUAAGCUCACUCGGGGAAAUUCUUUAUGUCGGAUCUGUCACUUUGGCAAGCGGAACUACUGGUCUAGAUCGUCGAGAUAGAUACUUUGUUCUUUUUCCAACGACUCUUUUGGUCCUCAGUGCCAGUCCAAGGAUGAGCUCUUUCGUUUACGAAGGAAAACUUCCAUUAACAGGUAUUACUAUUACUCAAGUGGAAGAUACAGAUGAAAUAAGAAAUGCUUUUGAAAUUACAGGACCAAUGAUCGAGAGUAUACUAGUACUUUGUGGUACUAAAGAAGAUCAGCAGCGAUGGAUCGAACUUUUAAUACAGGAACAAACAACAAAUAACAGUCUCGUGAAAUCAUCACCGACGUCACGCGUGAGUUACAGUUUACCUCCAUAUGCUCGUCUUUCAAGAUAUUUUGCAAAAUUAGUCAGACAAAAAAUUAUACGUCCUGAACUUUUGAAAAAAUUGCUUUAUUUACAAUACGUUCUGCGACCGGAUAUGAGUAAUGUAAAAAUGCGAAGGACUAAUAUAACGACAUAUGUCCUUCAUCCGAUGCAAACAAAUAGUCAGGAUAGUUGUUCACACAACUACUCGGCAAGUUUCGAGUCGAAUAAGAUCGCAACGGGGCAAUCAUUCGUUGGAACGACAAUGUUGCGUAAAUCUACUUUGACUCUCAAUGUGAAAUAUGCAUUAGCAGAUAUCGAUCUUAGUACUGUAGGAGUAACAAAGGGCUCAUCUUUGACGGAAUUAAUAUCAACUGAGAAUGAUACACGAGGUGAAAUCAGUAAAAGUUUGCCACUUGUUAAUGUUGGAAGUUCUAUUACUGCUGGUUUCGCCAAUAAUAAUAAUAAUAAUGUAAAUACCGUAAGCGUUGUUGACGAACAACUCGCUUGUCGAUCACGUUUCACGAAUCUUGCUCGUUCGUUUCCAAUUGGCUGUAACUUCCAUCAAGAUACAUUUGAUGAAACGAAGAAGCACAUAGAUGUAGCGGCCGCGAUAAAGUGUUGGAAGAGUAAAGAAUUCACUGACGAACAACCUAUUAUGAUAAAUUCUGUACAUCAUCCAUCCGUUCCUGUGUGUAAUUCAAACAUUAUUGAGAAUUGCUGUCAAGCGAAUGUAAUUAGUGUUGGAUCAUCAGAUUCAGGAAUGGCUGAAAGUUAUCGAUUAAAUUCUUCUGAAAUAAAUUCUUCUUGUAAAUCGUGUACGUGCGUUGAGAACAAGUACAGCAUAGAACAUCCUAUAAGGAUCUAUUCUGAUGAAAGUGAGAACGAUGAGAAUAAUUUUGAAUAUCAGUGCGUUUGUACAUCACCUUUUGGUUCAACCCCCAGGGAUAGUGCUCACUUAUCUGAUUCAUCGAAACACAAUGAUAAUACUUUAGAUCCUCCGACCUGCGAAACUGCUAGUACGAUAGUUUACAAUUCUGACCAUGCCUAUGCAACGAAUAAAAUACAAACAAACGAAAAUGUGCUUUCGAAUAAAUAUGAGCAUACAAUGCAAAGAAGGUUUACACAACCUAUACCAUACACACAUCAAAGUAUUGUACGAAAAGUUGGAAGGAAAGCAAUUCAGCCAAUUCGACCUGUGGAAAACGAUUAUGAUGGAACACAUCAAAUAUACACGUCAGGACUGUAUGCCCAUUGGUGGUUGAAGAAAUCUAUACCAUUUUCUGGAUGCUCGGAUCAAGAUUUGCAGUCAACAAAGCGGGAAACAGCAACAACAACAAACGCAGCAGCAGCAACGACAGUCACAACAACACAGAUCAAUCACGGAACAUUGUGUCUCCCUAGGAAUUAGAACACCUUGGAGUAUCGCUUCGUUACGACCAGCACCUCCUUUCUAUAGCUUCAAAGUAUUUGAUGAAAGACAAUUUGAAGAGGAUGCGAUCAUAUUGAAGGUGAUAGAGGCAUACUGCCUUUCUGUUAAUGCUAGAUUCACCGUCCAUUCUGGAGAAUCAACUU